rnacentral:rRNA from 1 species
AUUGAACGCUGGCGGCAUGCCUUACACAUGCAAGUCGAACGGUAGCGGGCCUUCGGGUGCCGACGAGUGGCGAACGGGUGAGUAAUGUAUCGGAACGUACCUUUCAGUGGGGGAUAACGUAGCGAAAGUUACGCUAAUACCGCAUAUUCUGUGCGCAGGAAAGCAGGGGACCUUCGGGCCUUGCGCUGAUUGAGCGGCUGAUAUCAGAUUAGCUAGUUGGUGAGGUAAAGGCUCACCAAGGCGACGAUCUGUAGCGGGUCUGAGAGGAUGAUCCGCCACACUGGAACUAAGACACGGUGCAGACUCCUACGGGAGGCAGCAGUGGGGAAUUUUGGACAAUGGGGGCAACCCUGAGUCAGCCAUGCCGCGGAAGUGAAGAAGGCCUUCGGGUUGUAAAGCUCUUUCGGCCGGGAAGAAAUCGCAUGGGUUAAUACCCUGUGUGGAUGACGGUACCGGAAUAAGAAGCACCGACUAUCUACGUGCCAGCCGCCGCAGUAAUAC